AUAAUACUAUUAAUGAAAAUAAUACUGAAAUAGUUUAUAAUAAAUGCGUAAUAUAUGCAUUUUAUCUGAAUCAAUUGUUAAGUAAAUAUGAAAAAUGUUAACAACCUAACAAUCGACUAACACAUGUUCUCAUCCUUACAUUUGAGCAUAAUGGCAAUCGAAGAUUUUGGAUAUAUAUAUACAUACAUAUUUGUGUUUUGGAAAUCGAAAGAAUUUCCUAAACGUAUUUUCUUCAUAUAAAAAGUGAUCUUCCUUGUUGCGCAAAAUAGCCAGAUUGCGCCUACGAGUGUAGCUAAAACAUAGGCCAAUUGCAUCAACCAUUAUUGUGCUCUUGUUUUUCUGUGACCUGGUUUAAAGCACAUCACAAAUUAGAGACUGAUAUUGCUCAAAUAGAGAUGAGACAAACUCGCCAGAAUACCAAAAAGUCACUAUAGAGAUUACAC